GCCGUUGUAGCUCAGUGGUAGAGCACUUCCUUGGUAAGGAAGAGGUCAAGGGUUCAAUUCCCUUUAACGGCUCAA
rnacentral:tRNA from 1 species